rnacentral:misc_RNA from 1 species
GAAAUGCGAUACGUAAUGCGAAUUGCAGAAUUCAGUGAAUCAUCAAAUCUUUGAACGCAAAUUGCGCUUCUUGGAUAGGCCAGGAAGCAUGCCUCUUUGAGCAUCGUUUUCACCCCAGCUCGACAGCUUUCUUGAUUGCAAAGCACGGUCGGAUAAUGAGCUGUCUCAUCAGAAAUAGAUGAGUCGCUUGAAAUGAGGUGAGGUUCUUAACUUUGCUAGUGCGCCGUACCCUUCGGGAAUAUGGGCUUGGUCUUUGGACUGAUCGCUAGCGACGUGGAUAAUUUUCUAUUUACGUUGUUAAUGCCGGUCGGCUGAACGACUUAGUACUGCACUGACAUAACAUAGACUCAGUGGAAAUUAAAUUCUUUCUUGAAUUAGAUCUCAAAUGAAGCAAGACUAC